UUCAUAGAGUGUAAAGGCAUAAGGGAGCUUGACUGCGAGACCUACAAGUCGAGCAGGGUCGAAAGACGGACUUAGUGAUCCGGUGGUUCCGCAUGGAAGGGCCAUCGCUCAACGGAUAAAAGCUACCCCGGGGAUAACAGGCUUAUCUCCCCCAAGAGUUCACAUCGACGGGGAGGUUUGGCACCUCGAUGUCGGCUCAUCGCAUCCUGGGGCUGUAGUCGGUCCCAAGGGUUGGGCUGUUCGCCCAUUAAAGCGGUACGCGAGCUGGGUUCAGAACGUCGUGAGACAGUUCGGUCCCUAUCCGUCGUGGGCGUAGGAAAUUUGAGAGGAGCUGUCCUUAGUACGAGAGGACCGGGAUGGACAUACCUCUGGUGUACCAGUUGUCGUGCCAACGGCAUAGCUGGGUAGCUAUGUGUGGACGGGAUAAGUGCUGAAAGCAUCUAAGCAUGAAGCCCCCCUCAAGAUGAGAUUUCCCAACUUCGGUUAUAAGAUCCCUCAAAGAUGAUGAGGUUAAUAGGUUCGAGGUGGAAGCAUGGUGACAU
rnacentral:rRNA from 1 species